rnacentral:antisense_RNA from 1 species
AACACAAAAUGGCGACACGUGGUUAGCAUUCGUCGCCAACGAGAAAUUGGGGUCGGCCCGAAAGCUCUAGAAUGCACCCCCCUUCUUCCCCGGGGCCUUCCACCUCCGCGAGUUUUAUGACUUAAAAAACCCCACAGGCUGGUCUGAAGGUCGGAGGCCUAAUUUUAACGCGUUUUCCUCCCUUUAAUUUGAAACGCGAACGCGAAUGGCUGUAAAAUGUGGGCACAAUAUUUAAUUUCUCGCCUUUUUAAAGCUUAAUAGUGGAUAAUAGGGGGCAGUAUCAAGGGAUAAUUUGGGUCCCCACAGUACCAAAGCAUUUAGAAACCUCUGUUUAAUUUAAGGAAUGAGAUAAAUUACUGCUUUUCUAGACUUCCUAGCAUGGGCUGUUGUGCUGGAGAGAACGAGAGCUACGAAGAGACUACAAUGCCUCUGACUUUUUCAUAGGACAGUUGGCCGAGGAAGACAAACAUAAAGAUGAAGUGCUUAAUUCAAGGUCACACAAUGUCGGGGAUGGACCUCCAGAUUUCCUUACUGGUGAGACGUGGUCUUGUAACACAGUGGUUAAGAAUGUGACUUUGGAGCCAGCCUGCUAGGGGCUGAAUUCUGACUCAGCCAUUUACUAACUGUGUGACCUUAGGCUGGAGUGCAAUGGCAUGAUCUCGGCUCACCACAAUCUCUGCUUCCUGGGUUCAAGCGAUUCUCCUGCCUCAGCCUCCCAAGUACCUGGGACUACAGGCACUCGCCACCAUGCCCGGCUGAUAUUUGUAUUUUUAAUAGAGAUGGUUUCCCUAUUUGGCCAGGCUGGUCUCGAACUCCUGACCUUGUGAUCUGCCCACCUCAGCCUCGAAAAGUGCUGGGAUUACAGGCGUGAGCCACUGCGCCCAGCCUUGUAUUUUUUUCAGUUUGGGUAGCUGUCCCUAAUUCAUUUGUUAAAGGAGAAGCAAGAGCAAGAACCUUUAAUCUGUUCUCCUCUUCCCUAAUUUGAAAGUAGCUUGUUAUUUUGAAUAUCACUUUCUCUGAAAUAGCACAUCUCCAUCUCAGAGAAUGGAUUUAAUGUUUGGAUACAGCCAAAAGUCGUUUCAUUACCAAACGAUGGGGUGAAUAUACC